AAUUAAUGAGCUUGAAUAAGCAUUUGUUUUGAAAACUUAAGAAAGAAAUAUAUAAUUCUAUUAAUUU
rnacentral:tRNA from 1 species